rnacentral:tRNA from 1 species
GGGGUUGUAGCUCAGUGGUAGAGUGCUUGCCUAGCAUGCGUGAGGCACUGGGUUCAAUCCCUGGCACCA